rnacentral:rRNA from 1 species
UGGAGUAUGUUGUUUAAUUCGAAGAUACACGAAGAACCUUACCAGGUCUUGACAUACCAUUGACAGGUGUAGAGAUACACUCUCCUUCGGGCAAUGGAUACAGGUGGUGCAUGGUUGUCGUCAGCUCGUGCCGUGAGGUGUUGGGUUAAGUCCCGCAACGAGCGCAACCCUCAUUGUUAGUUACUACCAUUCAGUUGAGGACUCUAAUGAGACUGCCAACGACAAGUUGGAGGAAGGUGGGGAUGACGUCAAGUCAUCAUGCCCUUUAUGACCAGGGCUACAAACGUACUACAAUGGCCAAUACAAAGAGAUGCGAAGCGGUGACGUGAAGCGAACCUCAGAAAGUUGGUCUCAGUUCAGAUUGAAGUCUGCAACUCGACUUCAUGAAGGCGGAAUCGCUAGUAAUCGCGGGUCAGCAGACCGCGGUGAAUACGUUCCCGGGUUUU